CCUACGGGAGUCAGCAGUGAGGAAUAUUGGUCAAUGGUCGUGAGCCUGAACCAGCCGAGUAGCGUGAAGGAUGACUGCCCUAUGGGUUGUAAACUUCUUUUAUGUGGGAAUAAAGUGCGUAACGUGUGCCUUUUUGUAUGUACCUUAUGAAUAAGGAUCGGCUAACUCCGUGCCAGCAGCCGCGGUAAUACGGAGGGUCCGGGCGUUAUCCGGAUUUAUUGGGUUUAAAGGGAGCGUAGGUGGGUUGUUAAGUCAGCUGUGAAAUUGUGUGGCUCAACCAUAACAUUGCGGUUGAAACUGGCUGACUUGAGUAGAGGGGAGGUAGGCGGAAUUCGUGGUGUAGCGGUGAAAUGCUUAGAUAUCACGAAGAACUCCGAUUGCGAAGGCAGCUUACUAAACUGCAACUGACACUGAAGCUCGAAGGCGUGGGGAUCAAACAGGAUUAGAUACCCGGGUAGUC
rnacentral:rRNA from 1 species